rnacentral:rRNA from 1 species
GACGAACGCUGGCGGCGUGCUUAACACAUGCAAGUCGAGCGGUAAGGCCCUUUCGGGGUACGACGAGCGGCGAACGGGUGAGUAACACGUGGGUGACCUGCCCUCAGCUCUGGGAUAAGCCUGGGAAACUGGGUCUAAUACCGGAUAUGACUCCAUGACGCAUGUUGUGGGGUGGAAAGCCUUGUGCGGCUGAGGAUGGGCCCGCGGCCUAUCAGC